rnacentral:lncRNA from 1 species
UCAGAAGGAUUGCAAGUCAAGUGAAAAAACAGCUCGCCCGCGGCGCGCCUGCAUGCUUCAGCCGCUUGUUCUCCAUUUCGCUGCUGCCAGUUGUGAAACCUGCCUGGACCAAAGUAAGUGUCAGCCAUCCGACCAAACCAAUCACCUGCAGCAGUGACCGGGGCUUCAUAUGAAGAUUCAGGAGUAAGGUUCGCCACUUUAGGUCUCUUGGAAGACUCAAGAUUAAUAACAUUAGGUUUCCUUUUUUCAAGUUCCUUCUUUUUUGGAGGGGAUCUUUGGGAAAUAGAUUGGCCCACAGACACUUUAUUGACAGCUUUAGAACCAGACGCGCCUCCAGACUGGGCGCGCC